GCGCCUGUGGCGGAAUUGGUAGACGCGCAAGGUUGAGGGCCUUGUCCCGCGUAUGCGGGGUGGGAGUUCGAGUCUCCCUGGGCGCA
rnacentral:tRNA from 1 species